UCCGAAUUAGUCCAGUGGUUAGGAUUCCGGUCUCUCAUUUGAGCGACACCGGCGGCCCGGGUUCAAUUCCCGGAUUCGGAA